GGUUAACGCUGGCGGCGUGCCUAACACAUGCAAGUCGAACGGUUCUAAGCGCGAGCUUAGGAUAGUGGCGAACGGGUGAGUAAAAGGUAGGAAUCUACCCCUUGGACGGAGAUAGCUACUGGAAACGGUAGGUAAACUUCGAUAAGCCCGAGAGGGGAAAGUGGUGAGACAGCCGAGGGAUGAGCCUACUCUCCAUCAGGUAGUUGGUGAGAUAAAAGCUUACCAAGCCGAUGACGGAUAACCGGUGUGAGAGCAUGAACGGUCACAAGGGCACUGAGAGACGGGCCCUACUCCUACGGGAGGCAGCAGUGGGGAAUCUUGGACAAUGGGCGAAAGCCUGAUCCAGCGACGCCGCGUGGAGGAAGAAGUCCUUCGGGAUGUAAACUUCUGAACUAGCCGAAUAAAAGGCCUGUGGACACACAGGAGAAGAAAGUAGGCUAGGAAAAGUCCCCGGCCUAACUACGUGCCAGCACGCCGGACGGUAAAGAGUAGUACA
rnacentral:rRNA from 1 species